rnacentral:misc_RNA from 1 species
UUGGACUACUAGGGUUUCUAAUCCCGUUCGCUACCCUGGCCUUCGAGCCUCAGCGUCAGGAGUUGUCCAGUAGCUCGCUUUCGCCACGAGUGUUCCUCUUGAUCUCCACGCAUUUCACUGCUACACCAAGAAUUCCAGCUACCUCUCCAAUCCUCUAGCACGGCAGUAUCGGAUGCAGUUCCGGGGUUGAGCCCCGGGAUUUCACAUCUGACUUACCACGCCGCCUACGCUCCCUUUACGCCCAGUGAUUCCGAACAACGCUCGGGACCUUCGUAUUACCGCGGCUGCUGGCACU